rnacentral:lncRNA from 12 species
UGUACCCAUUGACACACCACCCAGCAGCAGAGCUGAAUUUCUCCACAUCUUUGCAGCAAUAGCUAUUAUCAGACUUUUGAAACCUUUCUUCAGAGCAUCUAGGUAGCUCAGGCUGUUAAGCAUCUUAUUCUUGAUUUUGGCUCAGAUCAUGAUAUCAAGGUCAUGAAAUCUAGCCCCACAUUGGGCUCCAUGUGAGCAUGCAGCUUGCUAAGGAUUAUCUCUCUCCCUCUCCCUCUGCUCCUCCUCCCACUUACUCCCUCUCAUAAACAAACAAACACAUUUCCCUGAUACUUGUGAAAUUGUUCUUUUAACUAUAAUUUCCUAAUUUCUAGUGAGAUUCACCAUCUUUCCAUAUCUUAACUGGCCAGUUUCUCUCUUCCAGACAUUGCUUAUUUAUGUCCCUUGCCCAUUUUUUUUUUUUUUUAAAUUAGAAGGUUUGUCUUUUUCUGGUUCAUUGGUUACUCGUUAUAUAAUCCAGAAGCACAUUGCUUGCUCAUUUAAGAAUUAGAAAUAUCUUCUCCAAGCUUAUUUCUUACUUAUUUAAUUUUAUUUUGGGUGCCUCUUUUUUAAAAUACAGAAAAUGACUUAGCAAGGUUAAAUGUAUCAAUCUUUUAUUUCAUGGUGUGUGCUUUCUGGAUCUUGUUUGUAGAACCCUCUCUACCUUGAGAGGGCUCUUAAAGGUGCCUUUGAGGCCACCAAGGAAAGAGGGAGGUGAGAAGGGGCCAGAGCUUGUGAGCUAUUCUGUCUCUGCCUUACUCAGAAUAGCACCUCAUAUGUCUGUUUUAUAUUUGGACACCUGCAUAGAUUUGCAUUGAAGACGUUGUCUUGCUAUUAAAAAAAAUUAAAACUUUGAAUAUGGUUGCAUUUGCUCAGAGAUUCCUGUCCACCAAGACAAAAACAGAAAGAUGGAUUAGCAUACAUGAUGAUAUGUUUCCUGGCAUUCUGCCCCUGGCCCAUCAGCCCACUCUGUGGAUUUAAGGCUUGCUUCUUCAGGAAUGUGCAGAACUGUUCUGAAUACAGAUAAAGUAAAGAAUUCAAAACUCUUCUCCCAAGAAAGGUAUGCAGAGUGAUUUUUCAUACCUGUACAGUAAAGAGGUUGAGUCAAGCACUGCUUUUGAGCAGUAAGAAUAUUAGUA